rnacentral:rRNA from 1 species
AUAGCAUAUAUUAAAGUUGUUGCGUUUAAAAAGCUCGUAGUUGGAUCUGCGGCCUAGGAUAGCGGUCCCCCAAAUGGGUGGUCACUGCUUUUCCUGGCCUAAUAUCUCCGGUUUUCCCUUGCUGCUCUUCACUGAGUGGCUUGGGUGGCUGGAAAAUUUACUUUGAAAAAAUUAGAGUGCUUAAAGCAGGCGCAAGCCUGAAUAGUGGUGCAUGGAAUAAUGGAAUAGGACCUCGGUUCUAUUUUGUUGGUUUUCGGAGCUCGAGGUAAUGAUUAAGAGGGACAGACGGGGGCAUUAGUAUUGCGACGUUAGAGGUGAAAUUCUUGGAUCGUCGCAAGACUAACUACUG